AGCGAACAUUGGCGGUAGGCUUAACACAUGCAAGUCGAGCGAGGCGUAAUAGUCGAGCGGCGAACGGGUGAGUAAUACAUGGGAAUCUACCUUGGAGUGGGGGAUAACAGCCAGAAAUGGCUGCUAAUACCGCAUAAUCCCGAGAGGGGAAAGCGCGCUGCGCUCCAGGAUGAGCCCAUGGCUGAUUAGCUAGUUGGUGGGGUAAAGGCCUACCAAGGCGACGAUCAGUAGCUGGUCUGAGAGGAUGAUCAGCCACACUGGAACUGAGACACGGUCCAGACUCCUACGGGAGGCAGCAGUGGGGAAUGUUGCGCAAUGGGGGCAACCCUGACGCAGCCAUACCGCGUGCGCGAUGAAGGUCUUCGGAUUGUAAAGCACUUUCAGUAGGGACGACGAUGACGGUACCUACAGAAGAAGUCACGGCUAACUUCGUGCCAGCCGCCGCAGUAA
rnacentral:rRNA from 1 species